GUCAUUGUCCCCCGCCGGGCGGCUGGGCUGUGUGCGGCGGCGGCGGCGGCGGCGGCCGAGGGGGAUGGAGCGAGCGCCGAGCCGGGUCAGAGUUGAACAAUGACCAUAGUUGACAAAGCUUCUGAAUCCUCAGACCCACCAGCCUAUCAGAAUCAGCCUGGCAGCUCAGAGGCGGCCUCACCUGGAGACAUGGAUGCAGGUUCUGCCAGCUGGGGGGCCGUGUCUUCGUUAAAUGAUGUCUCAAACCACACGCUUUCUCUAGGACCAGUACCUGGUGCUGUAGUUUAUUCCACUUCAUCUGUACCUGAUAAAUCAAAGCCGUCACCACAAAAGGAUCAAGCCCUAGGUGAUGGCAUUGCUCCUCCACAAAAAGUUCUUUUCCCAUCUGAGAAAAUUUGUCUUAAGUGGCAACAAACUCACAGAGUUGGAGCCGGGCUCCAGAAUUUGGGCAACACCUGUUUUGCCAAUGCAGCAUUGCAGUGUUUGACUUACACGCCGCCUCUUGCCAAUUACAUGCUAUCACAUGAGCACUCCAAGACAUGUCACGCAGAAGGAUUUUGUAUGAUGUGUACCAUGCAAGCACAUAUCACCCAGGCACUCAGUAAUCCUGGGGAUGUUAUUAAGCCGAUGUUUGUCAUUAAUGAGAUGCGGCGUAUAGCUAGGCACUUCCGCUUUGGAAACCAAGAAGAUGCCCAUGAAUUCCUUCAGUACACUGUUGAUGCUAUGCAAAAAGCAUGCUUGAAUGGCAGCAAUAAAUUAGACAGACACACCCAAGCUACCACACUCGUUUGUCAGAUAUUUGGAGGAUACCUAAGAUCUAGAGUUAAGUGUUUAAAUUGCAAAGGUGUCUCAGAUACGUUCGAUCCGUAUCUCGAUAUAACGUUGGAGAUAAAGGCUGCUCAGAGUGUGAACAAGGCACUGGAGCAGUUCGUGAAGCCCGAGCAGCUCGACGGGGAAAACUCGUACAAGUGCAGCAAGUGUAAAAAGAUGGUUCCAGCUUCCAAGAGGUUUACUAUACACAGAUCCUCUAAUGUUCUUACACUUUCUCUGAAACGGUUUGCAAAUUUUACUGGUGGAAAAAUCGCUAAGGAUGUGAAAUACCCUGAGUACCUUGACAUCCGACCGUACAUGUCUCAACCAAACGGGGAACCGAUUAUUUAUGUCCUGUAUGCAGUACUGGUCCACACUGGCUUUAACUGCCAUGCUGGCCACUACUUCUGCUACAUCAAAGCUAGCAAUGGCCUCUGGUAUCAAAUGAAUGACUCCAUCGUAUCCACCAGUGAUAUUAGAUCGGUACUCAGUCAACAAGCUUACGUACUCUUUUAUAUCAGGUCCCACGAUGUGAAAAAUGGAGGUGAACUCACGCAUUCCACUCACAGCCCCGGCCAGUCCUCGCCCCGACCCGUAAUCAGCCAGCGGGUUGUCAGCAACAAACAGGCCGCAUCAGGGUUUAUGGGACCACAGCUUCCCUCUCAUGUGAUAAAGAACCCACCUCACUUAAAUGGGACCGGACCAUUGAAAGAAGCACCGAGCAGCUCCAUGUCAAGUCCUAGUGGAAAUUCCAGUGUCAGCCGGGCCGGGUCUGUUAAUGCUUCGACUUCUGUUCAGAACUGGUCCGUUAACAGGCCCUCUGUGAUUCCAGAACAUCCCAAGAAACAAAAAAUCACGAUCAGUAUUCACAACAAGUUACCUGUUCGCCAAGGCCAGUCUCAGCCCAGCCUUCACGGCCCUUCUCUGGACACCCCGAGCAAGCCGGUUCCCUCCUCCACCGUCACCAGUUCUGCAAUGCAGUCUACCUCGAGCGCAUCUAUGACAGCAGUUUCUGGCAAAGUCACGAAGCAGAUGACCCCGAGUGAGUCCUGUUCUAAGCCUGUGAUGAACGGCAAGUCCAAGCUGCGCUCCAGUGUCCUGGUGCCCUACGGUGCCGAGUCGUCCGAGGAGUCUGACGAGGAGGCAAAGGGCCUGGGCAAGGAGAACGGUCUCGGUACGAUCGAGAGCUCGAACUCUUCCGUGCAGGAUGCUGAAGACGACGAGGCCUCUCCGCUCGAGCUUCGAGAGCCUGUUGCUCUAAAUGGUGCUGACAGUCCAGACAGCGACCUGAAAGAGAACGGUCUGCCCUGCGAUGGUGCCCGCUGCCCAGUCCAGCCUGCCCUACACUCAGAAAAUCCCUUUUCUAAGGCGAACGGUCUUCCCGGAAAGUCGAUGCCCGCUCCCCUGCCCCCUCUCCCGGAAGACAACAUCUUAGAGACCUUCAAACUCGGCAGCAAAGUGAAAGGCGCCACCGAAGAGACCAGUUCACCUGGAACCGAGGAAGGUCCUGCAGAGGAUCCCGGCGCAGAGCUCGAGCCUGGCAGCCCCUCUCCUGAUUCCCGGGAGAAACCGGAGACGCUCACGAGUCUUAGCAGCAAAUUAAAGAAGGCCUCGCCACCCUCGGACCCCAGCAUCCAAUCUACCAAAGAAGAAGUCUCUGAAAACAUUGCAGCAAAACCCGAGGAGUUUUCGCCCGGUGCCGACGAUCUCUGCGGCAGCACCAGGAACGGCGCGGGGGACGAUCCGCUCCCUAAGCCUUGCGGCCCCGGGGAUUUAACAGACGACCAGAGCAGACCAGCCCAGGCUGCAUCAGGGACGCGCACAGACAGCCCGCGGGCCUCGGCCGCCGUGGAGGCGGCGCAGGGUUCGAGCCCAAGUCCCCCGGCUCGUUCCGAGGGCGCCUGCGAGGACGAGCCCUUCUGCGUCAGCGGAGACAAGCGCGCGGACACGGACACGGAGGGCCCUUGGAAGGGCGCGGGCGCGGCCGCCGCCGACCUCCCCUCUCCCCAAGUAGACACGGGUACAGAGCAUCGCUCGGAAGGGGGCCCCGAGCAGAGUCACGGUGAAAAACGUGAAGAAAAUAAGGUGGGACAGAAAAUUCCAGAUCGCUCUCCGGUUAAGGAAAAAAUCAGUAUCCUCAGAAGAGUUGACCGAGGACAUUAUCGCAACCGAAGAGAUCGUUCCUCCAGCGGAGAACGCGCGAGGGAGAGCCGGAGCAAGACCGAGGACCGCUACCACCGAAAGCGGCGCUCGUACACGAGGGAGCGGCCCAGGCAGGACCGCUACAGGACGGAGCACUGCGGCGGGAGCCAGCACCACCCCUGCCACGGCGAGCGGGCCAGCCCCGGCGAGCCGCGCUCCCUGGCCAGGUACGGCCACCACCACCCUCGGAGCCGGGGCGGCUCGGAGCAGGAGUGGGGCCGGUACCACCACUCGGAGGGCGAGCACCCCUGGGCCCGGGAGAAGUACUACCCCGAGAAGCUGCGCUGGGACAAGUGCCGGUAUUACCACGACAGGUACGCCCUGUACGCGGCGCGGGAGUGGAGGCCCUUCCACGAGCGCCCGUACGACAAGGCGGCCGCGGCCGGCCGGCCCUACCGGGACUGCUACAGGAGCAGGAAGGGCUGCGAGGCGGCCGCUAAGGGGAAGGGUCGGCACCGCUUCAGCCCCCGCGCAGGCCCGCCCCCUGCGCCCCUCCCCUACCCCGAGAAGCACCCCCACGAGAAGCUCGCGCCUGGAGCCGAAGACGACACCUGUGACCUCGCCGGCCGGUUUCACGACCACGAGAACGUCAAGUCGCGGAAACGGAGGUACGACAGCCUGGAAAACGGCGACGGUCGCGGAGAAAAGAGAGCCUGGAGAGGCGCACAGAAGGAGCCUUUAGAAGAGCCGAAAGCGAAGAAGCACAAAAAAUCAAAGAAGAAAAAGAAAUCCAAAGACAAACACCGAGACCGAGAUUCCAGGCAUCAGCAGGAUUCCGAUCUUUCGGUCGCGUGCUCUGAUGCCGACCUCCACAGACACAAAAAAAAGAAGAAGAAAAAGAAGAGGCACUCAAGGAAAUCCGAGGACUUUGUUAAAGACUCAGAGCCACACCUCCCCAAGGCCGCCAGCCAUGAGACUGUUGACCGUUUCCGGAGAACGGACGGCGCUUUCCCCCUCACUGAUGGGCUGCCUCUGGAAGGCGUUGGGCCUUUCUGUGAGAAGAGAAAACAUUUAAGGAUGGGAAGCAGGGAUGACAGGUGUCCUCUGUCUGAGUGUGGCCAGGGUAAGAGGCGAUACUUGGAAUUAAGAAUAUAGAAACGAUUUCUUGCUGACACGCGGGAAGAGACCCUCACGUGGCACGAAAGGGUGGACCCUUCGGUAGGAGCCCCGCCGCCCCGGUCCAGCCCCGGCUCCCAGGCAGAGCGCGGGCUUCGGUGGCGCGGUGUGGGGACCCGGAACCGGUCCCUUAGUGCUGAUGGAGAACCUCGGUGACGUGGAGCCGGGCUCAGCAGAGCCUCUGUGACGAGGCCGCUGGAGGUUGUGGCUCUGGGGGUGUGUGUGUGGCUCCUGAAGGACCAGAACUUCUGUUUCUAAGCCAUUUCUGAUAGAAACGUUUUCACCGUAUUUUCUUUCUUAAACCUCUAGACCUCGGAGUGCGAGCUUAAACUCAGCUCGAGGGCUCGGGUCAUUAGGAACAUCCGCUGUCGCUGUCGGCCGGCCUGGCCUCUCGGGGCACCUGGACUGCGGGGCGCUGGCUCCUGCUGCGCGGCUCCCCCCAGGCCGGGGCGCCGCGGGGGCUGGAUUCUUAGCGCCUGGCACCGCUGUCUCCGCCCUCUGUGCUCACACCGCGCUUAAAGCCGCCCCCGUCCCUCGAUCCGGUUUGUGCGGGUGACCCACGGGCCGGGCGAGGUGUCCCCGCUGGUCCCCGUGUGGCCUGCCAGCUAAGAAAGGCUUUCCGGGUUUUAAAUGGCUGGAGGCACCCGAAGGGGAAGACGGUUGUCCUCUGGCCUUUUGUACAAACGGCCCCAGACGCCCUGAGGUGUGCUCUUGGGACUUUGAUGCGUCGUCUUGGUGACCCAGAGGCCCUCUGGUUGUGUGUUUUGAGGGCAGACCGGUCCCUCCAGCGGCCCCCGGUCGGUGUGGUUGUUGACCGAGGAGGGACAGAGGGGCCCCGAGCGUGAGGGAGGCAGUGUCCCAGCGGGAGGGACACGGGAGGCUCGGGGCAGAGAAGCGUGGCCGUGGCCGGCCAGACGGUGACGCGGGGCCGUUGUCUGCCCUGGGCUUUUUUUAAGGUGUUGAUGAUACGGAAUUUCAGAUCGGUGUCCCGUGACCCUUUUGGUGAUUUGGGAAAGGGGCUUGGCCUGGUGAGGGUCAAGUCCCUUCUGACCACCGCCUAGUACUUGGGAGGAAGUGGUGGGCGGCGUCCCAGCCGUUCUGCCUGUUGCCAGACACCCACCCCCCCCCCCCCCCCGCCCCGGGCUGCAGGUGCCUGGUGAGGACCACGGUCGGUGGCCGCCAGCACACAUUGGUGGCGCCGGAGGGAAAACGGGUUGAGUGUAAGCCUGAGCCUUUGGCAUUUGGGGGCCACACGUGUGUUCCUAGGGGCUGCGAUACGCCUCUGUGUUGAGCGGUGGCCCUUUGUGCCCUGGGCGAUGGCACUCGAAGGCUGGUGUGCGGCCAGCGCUUCCGGGGAGAGCAGACGGAGGAAUCCGCGUGCCUGUCCCAUCCUGUCCUCUUCAAGGACAGGGACCACCUGCUUGGCCUUCCAUGCCAAACAUCCCUGUCUUCUGGCUGAGGAUGACAGACCCUGUGGCCCACCUGCCACGUGUCCCCUGUUCCUGGUAACUUGACCUGUCAGACUCCCGUCUUCCGGCCCCACGACACGCUGCCUGGUUUCUUUGGCCUGAGAUCUGCUCUCUCCUGCGGGGACAGUGCUGACGGGUGUGGGCGGAGAGGGCCCCCCGUCCCCACAGGCACGGCUUUCGGUGCAUCUCAGCCAUCACGGAGGGUCUUGUUUCCAGUAGAAGGCUUGGCGACAGCGCGCGCCGGCUCGUCUCGUCCUCGUCCCGUGCGGGGACGGAUUUCGGGCAGCGAGCACCCAGCCGCCGAGAAGGGGUUCUGAUUGUAAUCACUUGCGCCCACACAGCAGCAGGCACGGAACAUUCUGCAAAACCGUCAUUAAAAUCUCUUUCCUGAUCUUUGCUUUCUAGGUGAUUGAAAACUUGGCCUCAAAACAAAAAACUCACUAGUUAUGAUUCAGCGUGUUCCACAGAAGCCAUCCCCAACCCAGCUUAAAUUAUAAAUGUAGAAAUAACUCUGUUCAAAUCUGCGUGGUGCUUCUUUAGUAAAUACUGUACAGAUUUUACCAUGGAGGACUUUUUUUUAGUUUUUACCUUUUCUUAACUCCCCUUAUUCCAAACGGACGAACCCUUUCUACAACUGCUGACCGUUGUAAACAGCGUGUACAUAAAUCCCACGGACAGUGACGCCCUGGACUGGAACAUCUCAAUGCUGCUUAAUCAGACUCAGGUGGACUGCUCGCAUUCCAUGGAAAAGCUCCUUCAAGCCAGACCUCCGGUGCGAGAGCAGCCGGGAAACCAUGGAAUUAGUAAAAGUACAAACAAACUGACAGUGUGUAUAUUUAAUUUAAAGACUUAUUUAAAGAUUCACGAGCUCUCGACUAGACUUGGGAGCAGUCUGUUUUCUGUAAUGUCUGAUACUAGAAACUAAUUCGCUUCAUAUUUUAGUUGUAUUCAAGAUUUGAAAAUGUAUUUUGUAGACAAGUUCUGUUUUUGAACUUUGUGGAACUAUUCCAAUCGAUUUACCAGUUAUGAUGAGUAUUUACAUUAUGAAUGUAUAAUCCAAACAUUAUUUGUAAAGCCUACAGUAUGUUUUUAUUACUUAACACUUUUUUAUACAGUGUCUCUUGUCUUGACUAUGAUAUUGGAGUCUGAGUUGUCAGCUUGGUCCCUUAAAGUUUCUAGUUACAGACAAAAUCAUACUGUGAUUUUAUUUUUAAUAUGGAUAUGCUAUCAAACUGUGAUACACUUAUAAUUCACUGGUCCUGCAUCAGGAGACGGAGUGGGGAAAACUGUAUUUAAUACAGUUUGUAUCUGAAUAAUCUGUAUGGUUUAUACAGUUUGUGUUGUUCAGAGAUGUCUAAAGUUUGAUCUUUGUUUUUUUAAAGAUUAAAAAAAGCACUCGCCCCACUGUAAAUACACAGCAUGUAAAGUUUAUAUAGUAUAUAAAUGGCAGCAAAUUCA